GAGGUAGCUCCUCGCUGGAGUCGCGGUGUAGGCGGGCACUCCCCCAGUGAGGGGGCAGAGCGGGGUUCGAUUCCCCGCCGACUCG
rnacentral:tRNA from 1 species